AAGAUCAUACUUCACAGGAUCAUUUCUGUAGUAUAUCUUCACAGACUCUCUACCCAAAGUAGGAGUCGAUGCAGCCACGAUGAUGAGAGACGGCUUCUCAUCCUGAGCGUGAGGUUGGCUGUCUGGAUCCUCCUUUGUGGAGAAUUCGGCAGCCCUCGAUGAUCGUUCACCUUCGGGUUUCAUACCUGAAGGGAUGGAUGGGCAGCUGUCUGAGUGGU